rnacentral:sRNA from 1 species
GCCAGGUGUGGUGGCGCAUGCCUGUAAUGCCAAUGGCUCAGGAGGCUGAGGCAGGAGGAUCAUGAAUUCAAACCCAGCCUCAGCAAAAGCGAGGUUCUAAGCAACUGGGUGAGACCCUGUCUCUA